UCUCACACGCAUGCGCGAGACUUGAGCUCCCAUGAUACUACCCUGUACAAUGGAAUAUUAUUCAUAGACUCGCAGCGCCACCAUGACACUUGUCGUUUUGUAGUGAACUAAUUACCGAAACUGCGUGAACGUCCGCACAUAUAUCUUAUUACUAAGCCGAGUUAGGACUCCAGUAUAGAGCUUGGACUUUUUUUUUUAACGUUUUGUUGUGUUCUGGCUAUUGGCCAAACCUUAAGAGCAGACGGUAAUUGUAACAGAAUGUGCAAAUAACAUAUAGACCAUCGCCAGACCAUCACUAGAUCACCGCAGUGGCGUGGUUUAAGAUGAGUACUCAGCCCUGUUCAUGGUUCGGAGGACAUACCAGGAACAUCUUCCUGGUGAUUAUUUUCAAACACAAGCUUGUGUAUUCAGUAACAUUUAUUUUGCAUGGAUAAAGAAAAAUGGAAAUGCUGACGUCAAAAAAACUGUGUCUUGUCAGAACGAGGCUAAUGGAAAUUCAUACGACUAAGGUGAAAAGUCAACAAAGUAAAAGUCUACACAAAAUUUCAAAUUAGAUCUAUAUCCUGAAAAGUGUUAAUUUUAUUAGAUUUUUUUUUCUGCAAAUCUUUUAAAAAAAAAAAAAAUACGUGGACUUAUAGAGUUAGCGGUACACGACAUGAAACUUCUAGCCUUUCUAUCUGUCAACAUUUAGAACUCACACAUGAAAGUAUCUUGAAAUAAAGGCAUUAUUUAAAUCUG